rnacentral:rRNA from 1 species
GACGAACGCUGGCGGCGUGCUUAACACAUGCAAGUCGCGCGAUGAAGCUCCUUCGGGAGUGGAUUAGCGGCGGACGGGUGCAUGACACGUGGGUAACCUGCCUCAUAGAGGGGAAUAGCCUUCCGAAAGGAAGAUUAAUACCGCAUAAGAUUGUAGCUUCGCAGGAAGCAGCAAUUAAAGGAGCAAUCCGCUAUGAGAUGGACCCGCGUCGCAUUAGCUAGUUGGUGAGGUAACGGCUCACCAAGGCGACGAUGCGUAGCCGACCUGAGAGGGUGAUCGGCCACAUUGGGACUGAGACACGGCCCAGACUCCUACGGGAGGCAGCAGUGGGGAAUAUUGCACAAUGGGGGAAACCCUGAUGCAGCAACGCCGCGUGAGUGAUGACGGUCUUCGGAUUGUAAAACUCUGUCUUCAGGGACGAUAAUGACGGUACCUGAGGAGGAAGCCACGGCUAACUACGUGCCAGCAGCCGCGGUAA